rnacentral:misc_RNA from 1 species
AUUUCUCAAAAGGCCUUAUCUUCGUAAGGGGGUAAGGGCUUUUGGAUUUGGAGGCUUUCUUGCUGGCUUCACCUUGAAGUGAGCUCCUCCUAAAUGAAUUAGUGGGGGUCUGCUUUGCCGAUCCUUGACGUGAUAAUACCUUUCUACGUCUUGGGUUUGGCACGGUCACUUUGGCACCUGCUUCUAACCGUCUUCAUUGACAAAUGAUGGUGUUCCGGUCUACCACCGCUUCAGUCGGUGGGAGGCUUGACCCACAAAAGAAAA